UCUUGUACGGGAAAAAUUGGAAACAAAAAAUAUAAUAAAUAUAGUAUAAAAGCAGUGGUGAUAUAAAAAAAUUUAGGAAAAAAGUGAUAUAUAUAUAUUAUUGAGUAUAAUUAUCAUCUCUAAGCCAAGUCGGUCAAAAAGAUAGUGUGGGUUCUGAGUGGAUCGAUGAUAACCUAUCAAAAUUUUAUUCUUCCAAAGAAGAUUUAUAAAAAUUUUGCAAGAAAGAAGAAAGAUGGAACGCUCUAUGGAAAUAAAGAAGUCUGUUCAAGAGCCAUUAAUCUUAUUCGUAGAUAUUGCCAAGAAGAACAUAUAGCGUUAGACAGAAAAUACUACUUUAUAACAAGGAAAUUAAUAACUGCACCGUGUAUGAAACGAAAAAUACGAUUUAAAAUAAACUGCAAGUUGGCAAUGCUUUAAAGAAAAAUAUCCUGCAAACGAAAUAAAAUUCCUAAUAUGCAAUAUAAACUGGAUUCCAACAUUCUCUGAUGAUCUGGAUAUUAGAAAAUUUUCUCGGUGAAUUACAGGACAAAGGGACAUUUUUGAUGCUGACAAACUGAGAUGCCAAAGGAAAUACUGAGACAUGAAUAGAAUUAAUAAGAAAAAAAUCUGUGAAGUUUGUGACAGCAUCAAUCUUUUAUAAAAAUGGAAUUUUUAAUAUUUACCAAUAGAAUCAUCACAAUUAUAAAUUGUGACUAGAAUAGUACUAUAAAUAGAUCAUAGAUUAAAUUUUAAGAAGUACAUGGUUAUAAUUUAAAAAAUCGUUUAAAAAACAAGGUGAAACAUACACUUUGUUGAGAGUACUUGUUAAAGAUAUCGUUCGUAGAUGAUCUUAAAAUAUAAUAGAAGAAAAAAUUAACAAAAUCGGAACAUAAUUUAAACUAAUUAAAAUAUAAUAUAUUUGUGAUUGAAAUUUUAGCUAUUUAUUACUUAUCAAUUUUUAAUUGCAUAUUAUUUGCAAUGAAAUACGUAAGAUAUAACGUAAAAUAUAACAUGAAAAAAUCAUAGCAACAAUAGUAGAAAGAAAAUCUGAAAUAUGUAGAUAUGAUGACGAACAUAAAUAAAAAAGAAAGUAUAGUACUGAAAGAAAAGAUCCGCCAAAGGCCCCACCCAGGAGAAAUUAGAAUAAUUAAUCUAGAAUAAUUGUUGAAACUAUUAUGUACAGCCAUACGCUCGAUAGUAAUCAUAUUAGAUUCCUUAUAUUACAAGUAGUACCAACUACGUGGAGAUUACUGCAUUUGAAGAUCCAUUUAUGGACUUCUAUACAAAAAUCUAUUUCUUAUAACUAUAAAUUUCAUUAUCGUUUCUGUAAAUUUAAUUAUCAUAUAUCCUUAACUUAAUAUAUUCUCUAACUUGUAUUAGAUUACUUCUAUCGAACAUGAAAAAUGUGAAAGUAAAGAAUACAAUUAUAUUGAAAUGUGCUUAUUCACUUUAAGAAGUUCUAUAAUGGUUCUUCGAUGCAGUCGAUGCAAAUUCAUUUGUUGUUUAAAUCGCCAAACGCAAACGAACAAAUACUGUUCCUACUUCGCAACUUUUUAGUUUUCAUUUUGGCAAUACAAAUAUUCGAGUGAUCGUUGAUAUUAGUUGUUUAAUAACAUCGUUAUAAUAACAUCGUUUUUGUUGAUGUUAGAUGAAGACAAUGAUUUCGCCUUCAAAAUUUAAUGAUCUCCAAAUGUUAAAAAAAAUUAUUUUAUAUUUAACGCCUGUUCCGAAUAAAAUAUUAAUUUAUUAUAGUCCGCAAUUAUUAUUAGAAAGAAAAAAUUUCGAUAUUUACUCGUUAUGCAAAAGGAAACUAUCUGCUAUGUUUUAUUCUUUUCAUGAUAAAUGUUUUAAAAUAAGAAUAAUUAUUCUUAUACUCAAAAAUGAGAUAUGCAGCAAACUUUAAGAAUGUUCGGUAAAACGCUUUAUAGUAACGAGUACUUCGCUUGAAUGAAAUUGUAGCGAACAUUGACCUCUGAUCAGGGUCGAGAAUGCACUCGCCUCUUGUUUUGUUUACUUAUUUUCUUAUUAAGUUUCCGAUACAAUACAAUAUAGAAAUACAAUACAACUUUAUUUCAUUAUGAAUAUUAUAUAUAUAUAUAUAUAUAUAUAUAUAUAAUAUAUAUAUAUAUACAUAUAAUAACUAUGACAAUGAUUUUAAUAUUGUAAUAGAUUCUUUGAUAAAAUAAUUUAAGAAAGUGCGUGUACACGUCAAAGUUUAUUUUAGUGAACAUUUAUUGUAUACAUUUCCUUUGUUAUUUUUCUCUUUUCAAUUUUUAUUUGUACAAUUCUUCAGUUGUGAUCACGCGGAAUGCAAUCAGAAGAGUCAGUGUUUGCGCGAAACCUUAUAUUAUUUUUUGAACUGUAAAAAAAUAAAAUGAAUUUCGAAAUAUAGUCACUGCUAUACACUGAAUAUUUUUUGUUCAGUCACGUUAGCAAAUCGAUGCAAAUAUUCAUUUUAUAGUUUUAUCGAAACAAUUUGUUCAUCGAGUUGUUAAAGUAAUUCGGCGGAAGAGUUAACAAUUUAAUUAAUCAAUGGAAUCAAGACCACUAAUUAGACUGAAGUUAAAUAUUAAAAUUAACGACCAGAACGAACAACUAAAAUAAAAAAUAAAAUAAAAUUUGAAAUCAAUAUCCUGGAUCAAUAAAACUACAACCAGUAUAUAAACUAACUAUUUCAACAGACAAUCUAUAAUAAAAUAAGCGCUACUGUCAAUUCUACUCAAGAAAAAAGAAAAUAAUGGUCAUAGAUGGAAACGCAGAAAGUAUUGAGGGAGAGAGAUAAAUGGGAUUAAUACUGAAGAUUAGCGAUGAACAUUCUAAGUUAGAGAAAGAUUAAUUUGAAAAAAAAAAGAAAUUUAAUAUCAAGAAGAAAGAUGAUGAAAAUAUAUUGAUUAUAGAUAA